UUGGAUUGUUAAAAGGUUAAUUGU
rnacentral:miRNA from 1 species